AUGACGGUGCUAAGCUGGAACUGUCGGGGCCUUGGGCAACCCCGGACAGUUCAGGAGCCGGUAUGCCUAGUGCAUACUCACAAGCCCAAGAUCGUCUUCCUAGCUGAAACGAGACAGUGCGAGAAUAAAGUUAAAGGUAUGAAAUGGAGACUAGGUUUGAAACAUUGCCUUACCAAGGAUGGUAAGGGCAAAGGGGCUGGUAUUGCACUGUACUGGGACGAUUCAAUAAAAAUAUAA
rnacentral:rRNA from 1 species